rnacentral:rRNA from 1 species
GACGAACGCUGGCGGCGUGCCUAAUACAUGCAAGUCGAGCGAACAGCCGAGGAGCUUGCUCCUCUGACGUUAGUGGCGGACGGGUGAGUAACACGUGGAUAACCUACCUCUAACACUGGGAUAACCUUUGGAAACCGCAUCUAAUACCGGAUACUAUAUUGAACCGCAUCGUUCAAUCGUGAAAGACGCUUUUGCUCUCACUUAUAGAUGGAUCUGUGCCGUUUUAGGUAGUUGGUAAGGUAACGGAUUAGCAAGGGAAUGAUGCGUAGACGAACUGAGAGACUGAUAGCCCACACUGGAACGUAAACACCGACAAUACAACUACGAGAGGCAGCAGUAUCGUAUCUUCCGCAAUAGUCGAAAACAUUACAGAACAACGCCAAGUGUGAUGUAAAAAUCUCCGGAUCGUAAAAAUCUGUUAUUAGUUAAGAACAAAUUUUUAAAUAAAAAUACACAUAUUGACGGUACCUAAACAAAAAGCCACGGCUAACUACGUG